GAUUCGUUCUUUUCCCGUAGCGUCCAGCCCGGGUCCUCCACCGACAUGGCCGCUGCCGCCGGUUCCUUCGUCGCCUCCCUCCCGGCCCCACUCUCCCUCAACGACAAGAUGGGCAGCGGCCAUGGGCAGCGGCCAUGGCGGCAGCCAGGAGGCGGGGGGGCUGCAGGGUGUACGCAAUCUGCGUCGACAAGAUCGCGCUCCAGGAGACGGCGUUCCCGCCCUCCACCACAAAUACCAAGCCCGAAGGCAAGUGAGAGCGACCAAUUGCGUUUGUAUAUUUAUUAUUAAAUCGGCUAUAAAUUUCCCCUCAUGUGUUCAUCUGUCCCCUUCCCAGCCCAUCUCCUCCCGUCCUGAUUCCAACUGACCUCGACGCCUCCACCAACGUACCGAUGCCCCGCCGUCGCCGCAGCAAGGUGAGAGCGCCAAGGACCCUUGACACCCAUGCCGAGGAGGCAGAUUGUGAUUUCGUCGAGCAAGCAGAUGGGAUUUACUACUUGAUAUGCCUUUCAUAGAUUGCUCUAUCCAUUACUGCUAGCUUCUAACCAUGAUGGUAAGAUCCCAUGACGAUGCAACAAUUCUCUUGGUAUUGUUGUUGUUUGCCUACGUAUUUUGUGCUGCCUUUCAAUUCCUCCCUAUCCUCGAUUUGCUCAUAAAAAGGUUACAGUGAAGCAUGCCAAAUCAAUUUGUUUAUACUAUACUUUUUGUAUGUGGCUCUAACUAUUACUAUGUGAUCUGAAUUACUCAUCAGCUUUACGACAUGGUUUGGAGACUGGAAGAUAAUUGUUGCAUCUCUGAUUCAGUUUGGCUUCUAUAUUGAAAAGAAAAAGGCUCAGGGUAACUUAGAUUCUGAGAUCUGUUUUUCCUAUUGAUUUUUUAAUCUUUUGCUGCUAUUUUUCAACUGUUGCUAGGCUGCAUAUGCCUUUCAUAUGUUAUUUCGGCAGUAACUUAGUAUCUUGAUUUUUCUUUUCAUUAACGGUUGCCUGGAUAUUUAGUUUGGCUCAGAUUGUGUACUACAUUAACAUAAAAUGAUUCUGUGUAAGCCUCUAAGAUGGGAUCCAAAUAUCAAGUUCUUUUAAGGGAAAAGAAUAAAACAUUUCAUCUCAUGCACUCUAUUCCCUAACCCCACUCACAUGCAGGUGGACAGCACGAGUUCAAAAGCUACAUGGUAGCAAUGCCACUUUUGUAAUUUGAGGCAGGCCUAGAAGCACAUCUGUCUUUGAUGAACAAAAUGUAUAGAUUGUAAAUGCUCACAGUGCAAUAUAUUAUAAUAAUCCGAGUAAUGUUUCAUUUACUUAACAUUGAGUGAGCAUUAACCGAGCAUCAGAGUUCUAUAGAUUUCUUUAAAGCC